AACACCGACUAUCACUUGGGAAGAGGAAUCCUCCAACCUCUGCUUCCACCCACCGUGAGUUCAACUAGAUAAGUAGAGAUAUGUUGCACAGCAAGGUGAAUUGACAGAAGUAGCAUCUCAGAUACCCCUCCAUGCAUGAAUGGACCCGGAGAAGACAAAAUCCUUUUUGGAGCAAGGAGAAUGUUGCAAUGGACUGGAAAGAGGGGAGCAGUCAGCAGAAAGAACAGAGCUAAUGGAACCUGAAUUGGUUUCUCACCCUCCAGAGCUCUGUCAGCUUGUGAGCCCAAGUCAAGAGGAAUUGACCAGAGGAAAUAGUCAUAGAGCCAGCAGAGAAAUCAAUGUGCCAAGUGACCAGAAAAGAGUAUCCUGGGGCGGCACCAAUAUCAUCAUAUCAGAACAACUCACCGGAGUUGAAAAUGGUCAAGGAGACAGCACUGAUUUGAACAACUCAGAUAGCAGGAAGAUUAAGACAAUUCUGCAUUCAAUUCUAUCAUCCUGUGUAUAUAGAACUUUUGGAGUCCUCCUGAUUAUCCUGGAUAUAAUACUUGUAUUUAAAGAACUAAUUUUCACUCGUGCAAUUUAUAUUCCUUUUGGAUAUCUAUUAGUUCUCCUAGCUAUUGCUUUAUUUUUUUUCCUCGAUCUUCUUGUUCGAGUAUAUUUAGAACAGUAA
rnacentral:lncRNA from 1 species